rnacentral:rRNA from 1 species
GUGGGGAAUAUUGGACAAUGGGCGAAAGCCUGAUCCAGCCAUGCCGCGUGUGUGAAGAAGGUCUUCGGAUUGUAAAGCACUUUAAGUUGGGAGGAAGGGCAGUAAGUUAAUACCUUGCUGUUUUGACGUUACCGACAGAAUAAGCACCGGCUAACUUCGUGCCAGCAGCCGCGGUAAUACGAAGGGUGCAAGCGUUAAUCGGAAUUACUGGGCGUAAAGCGCGCGUAGGUGGUUUUGUAAGUUGGAGGUGAAAUCCCCGGGCUCAACCUGGGAACUGCCUCCAAAACUGCAUGACUAGAGUACGGUAGAGGGUAGUGGAAUUUCCGGUGUAGCGGUGAAAUGCGUAGAUAUAGGAAGGAACACCAGUGGCGAAGGCGACUACCUGGACUGAUACUGACACUGAGGUGCGAAAGCGUGGGGAGCAAACAGGAUUAGAUACCCGAGUAGUCC